rnacentral:rRNA from 1 species
GUGAAGUUGGGGUCAGCAGCGGGGGUAAUACUAAGGGGUCAAACGGUGGUCGGAAUUAUUGGGCGUAAAGCGCACGUAGGCGGCCUUGUAAGUCGGAUGUGAAAUCCCGCGGCUUAACCGAGGACGUGCAUCCGAAACUGUGAGGCUCGAGUAUGGAAGAGGGUCGCAGAAUUCCCGGUGUAGAGGUGAAAUUCGUAGAUAUCGGGAGGAAUACCAGUGGCGAAGGCGGCGACCUGGGCCAAUACUGACGCUGAGGUGCGAAAGCGUGGGGAGCAAACAGGAUUAGAUACCCCAGUAGUC